UGCCUGGGUGCCUCCGACUCGUAUACCGAAGAAACGCUGCUCGACCUUCCUUGAAAAGCCUUAAGCGCCCCACUAGAUAUGCUGGGACGGCGCAGACUUCUUGAACAAGUCUCCUGGGUAAGUCGGCUUUAAACAGGUGCCCAUUCGUACUGUAGUAGAAAUGGCGUCUGGCCCUGGUUUGUGAGGAUUAUUCAUGUUAUCAAUCAGAUGAAUCGGCCAAGUCAUUGUCAGUGUUAUUAUGAUAACAUUGCGAUGGCCAUAUAUUCUUUUGUGGUCUUUCAAGAGGAACACAUUUUCAGGU
rnacentral:sRNA from 1 species